UAGUAUAACUGGACUGCGGAGUUCGAUAGAACUCCAUUCAACGGUUUUGAAGCAACCGCGGCUGAUUUACUUCCGCCCCAAAAAUGCGGAAAUAUAAUAAUCACCUUGACAACGUUGAGCUACAUUGCUGAUAGGUCGACAUCGCCGGCCAAUCCACAAACAGACACUUCAAGACAUGUCCCGCCCCUCCCACCCGAAUAUGACAUGGCGUCCCCAGCAGAAUUAUUGAACCCACUUUUCAGCUGUGGAACUUGUCGACACAGAAACCCUUGAUUGUCAUAAAAACAGCAACACAAGUUCAAAUGGAACUGGUGAUCGACAAACCAUGGACAGAGAUACUGCAAAAAAUCUCUGCCAUGGACGCUGAAGAAAGGCUCCUCGACGCCAAGCUGUCAUCCGGAAGAUUGAAGAUGAAGAUUGCCGUGUCGAGCAGUCAUCAUGACCAUUUUUUUGCUGAUCCCCCCCAGUUUUUGAAAAGAUUCAGAAUACAAAAUCACUCUUAGAAGUAGACGGUAUGGUAAACAAACCAAAGUUAACACCUUUCAGUUAGUAAAACAUAGCUGGCCUACAGUAGGCUAUGACUAAACAUCUGGGUGUUUUGUAUGCUUGACAUAAAGAUUAAAAUGAAAUAUUCACCCUUAUGUUCAGCUUUUUAAACUUGCAAAUCAUGGAGUGGACAUUCUUCCCCAAGCUUGUAACAAAUGCAUUACUUCAAUCACA